rnacentral:rRNA from 1 species
UACGGGGGGGGCAAGCGUUGUUCGGAAUUACUGGGCGUAAAGGGCUCGUAGGUGGCCAACUAAGUCAGACGUGAAAUCCCUCGGCUUAACCGGGGAACUGCGUCUGAUACUGGAUGGCUUGAGUUCGGGAGAGGGAUGCGGAAUUCCAGGUGUAGCGGUGAAAUGCGUAGAUAUCUGGAGGAACACCGGUGGCGAAGGCGGCAUCCUGGACCGACACUGACGCUGAGGAGCGAAAGCUAGGGGAGCAAACGGG